ensembl:lncRNA
GGUGACUGCUUUCUCCAGGGAGAAAUGAAGGCACGUGAUCAUCCUGCUACUGGGGUGAGAGAUCAUGAAGAGACAGCGGUUUGACACCCACAGGACGAAUUGAGGGUACCGAGAUGCCAGCGGGCAGAGCGGAGCUCAGGCUGUCUCCUUUGAAGAACCCUGAAACAUCUGGACUCGGAACCCAGAAUUCUACAGAGGAGGGGGCUCGGAGAAGAAGGGACCCAGAAGGGAGAAUCGUGAGAUUCCUGUGUCACCGGAAAGAUUUGGGAGCCUGGCCAAAGGCAUCCAUCUGGACUUCAGCUUAGAAGCCGCUGCCCCUUCGUCUGGGCCCCAGGAUGAAACUGCAGGUGGCGCUGGCCUAGCACCUGUGCAGGUGACAGUUCUGGCUGAGCUGCCACUAGACAUGGUGUCUGGGUUUGGCACAUGGUAGAUCUUGUCUGACACUCUGGUGACCUGUCCCUGGUCCAUGUGGCAUUGUAUGGACUUAACCUCUCGCUGUAAGACCACCCAUGUUGGUUAGACAAUCUUAUUAGGAAGCCAUCCUUACCUAACUUGGAAGAUUAAACAAAAACCCAAGACUCAUCUCCAGUGCCUGGCCAAGGUCACAAAACUGUCCCUUCAUUUGCUGUAGUUGCUUAACCCCUGUGAGGGACCACCGUAUGCUAGGCACUGACCUUAGAGCAGCUAGGCACAUCAGUGAAUUUAGGCAAGAAAGCUGAGUGGAUGGGCAGUGCAGGGUAGGGCAGGCCUCCCCCAGGAGGUGGCAGUUAUGCUGAACCCCAUGUGACAAGGGCACCCAGAGUGCUAAGCACACAACUGUUUUGCUUUGGAGGCAGUAGAUAGAAUCUUCCAGAUGGGUCGCUCCUCCAGGGAGGUCUGUGACCCCUGCCACCCAUGUCACCCAUGUCAACAAGGCCUUUCGAGGGAGUCUGCAGGCUGAUGAGAGAACUGGAAGCCAGCCUGGCCACAAGAAGCCUUGGGAUAGCCAAGGGCACCGUAAGGAUCUGACUGGGCCCAGGGACACACUGACUCCAACUGGUCUGAGUCAAGCAGGUGCCUCGGGUAAGUCAGGAGGGUAGAAAGGACUGUGAGCUUCCGUCUGCUCUGGCCUUGGGAAAGGUAAGACAGAAGGACCCUGGCCCAGCACUGGCCAAUUGCCUAUCUGGCUCUAACACUGCUCUGCCCUGGUCUUAACACUGAGCCCUCCUGAAGUUUAAGGUCUCCCAAACUCUUCCAGCUUGUCCCAAGCCAUCUCCCAUCAAGGGGAGCUGGGGCCUUGAAGAAUAUAUUCCACCCCCACCUCCACGAGACAGGUUCACAUGGAAUAAGUGGGACAAAGUCAGGGUCAGAUGGGCACAAGGCGUAGAAUGUAGUGGCUCAGCUUGUGGACAAAGCAGGCCCUGCACAGCAGGUCUACUGUCUCUGUGGAGGGAGCUGAGGGCCACAGCAGUCCUCAGGAUACCCGAGGGGUAGCAGACCCUAACUAGUAGGGAGUUCUGCACAUGGAGCCCUGUGCUAAGAGCCUCUGCCCAGCAGAGGGGAGGAUGUGGGGGACCCAGUGACCAUAGAGGACAGAGGCCAGCUUUGUUCCUAAGCAGACAGCUUUUCAGCCUGUAGGCAGGCGAUCCAGAGAGGGAUGAGUAAAGGCCUUAGAUGAGAAAGAGGAGGUAUGUUAAAGAGAUCUUUCAACCAAAUAAAACCAAC